GGUGAGUAACACGUGGAUAACCUACCUAUAAGACUGGGAUAACUUCGGGAAACUGGAGCUAAUACCGGAUAAUAUAUUGAACCGCAUGGUUCAAUAGUGAAAGACGGUUUUGCUGUCACUUAUAGAUGGAUCCGCGCCGCAUUAGCUAGUUGGUAAGGUAACGGCUUACCAAGGCAACGAUGCGUAGCCACCUGAGAGGGUGAUCGGCCACACUGGAACUGAGACACGGUCCAG
rnacentral:rRNA from 1 species